CAGAAUAUAAUUUUAUGGGGCAUUAUUGUAUUUUAUGUAGCCGCUAGCUAGCUAGUCAGAAAAUACUUUUUUGAACAUUUCGCAGGAUAUGUUGUAGACGGCAAAAGUAGCUGUGGGUGCUACAGUAGCGCCUGAAUCAGGACGUUGACAUGUAGAAAAAAACGGAAAAAAACGAGGAUAUAUCCAUUCUGGGAACAAGUAAAUUCAUAGCCAACUCAACCCUCUUCUGUCCAGGCUAAAUUAACCACGCUUUUACCUUCCUUUCAUGCCACAUGACACACACCUAGCCUGCUAAGAUUACAUUUUGCCAUUAGUUUACACAGUGGCAAGAUGUAGUAAGUACCAAAUAAUAGAUUUUAUUUCACUAACAAUGAUCUAACUAACAAUUUGUUUUUGCACAGGAUUGUGGCGAUUGCAUACUGCUACUGCCUUAAAUGGAACCACUUAAUUUACAUCCAGGGAAGGGGGGCCGAGAUUACUAUGUUUUAAUUAUAUUUUGCACGAUAUACCCCUCCCCACGCACACAUACCUGAACACUUGAAAAGCAGUUGAAACAGAACAGAGAUAGUGGUUCGCAUUUUUCUACUAUGGUUAUACUCUGUCAUCACACGUUGACUUGCUCCCAGACAAUGAGACAGGUUGGCACAACACCACCGGUGUAAUGUACUGUAUCAAAUUACAGACCAUGACAAAAGGUGCAGGAACUCCACAAUACUUCUGAGCUAAUAUUCUGCUGUGCAUCACAACAAGUAGAUCAUUUGAUGUGUCAAUACUCAGUGCCGAUCAGGCAGAUCUUCAAGCAGUGUGCCCCAGCAGACGUCGCAGUUGUGCCCUGGUUAACACCCCCUCACUGUGUGCCAACAAAGCUGUUUGCCAUAUUCAGGAGCUGAAGAGGCAACUGGAGAACUGGUGUCAACAGUCAGGAAAUGUUCAGCAUCAGAUGUCUCAUGAAAAACAGAAAAAUAGCAAAACUUUUAGAUUUCAUUCCAGUGAAUCCAAGUCUUCAAUUAUGUCUACUGAGUUAUACAUUGAAGACAUUGGGCUAAGUGCAAGAACCGAAAGAAGUGGCCUGUUGUCUCCGCUGUGUAAGGAAACCACAAAGUUGGUGUAUCUGAUUGAACAUCUAGAAGCUGAUCGCCAGGAUGCAGAGGAAGCUCUACAAACAGAGAAGAAGAGGAGGUUGUAGAGUUGAAAAUAUGAAUCGAGGUAGAAGGUAGAACAUUUUCACAAUUAAAGGAAGGGAUUUCAGAGCUGCGGAAAGAAGUCCAUGCAACUAGACUUGCAGGUGAAGUGGCGGUCUCUCACACCGAGGAGGGGUUCCUUAAAAGAAACAUCAGGAUACCUUGAAUCUUCAUGAGGAAAACAAAGAGUAUGAACUGGAGAUUGAGGACUACAGCAAAAAGAUCUAUGAACAGGCAGCGAAGCAGCUUCAGAAGAACAGGAAGCACAUGCAGCAGAAGUUCAGUGUGAACGAGGACCGGAGAGCAGAGGCUAAGGAGGAGCUGUCCCAGAUGGCUACGCUGCACCCCAAUGCCAAGGUCAACUUGGAGGAGCUGGAGCAGAAGACCUUCAUGGUGGAGCAGAGGAUGCGAGUAUGUGUGAGAAGAGCCAUGCACUUAGCUAGACAUCCAUGCACUCUAACCUGUAGUAAAUCCAUCCUAGAUAUAGAGGUGGCAUAUCCUUAUUGACACGUCUAAUGUUUAGAUUCAGCGCUUUGACCAUUAGAUAUUGCCGAUCACAUAAUCUGCACUAGUUGUCAGUGAAAUAAGCACAUACUUUUAGAGAUUCAUCCAUGCAUGGAGACUCACUAACAAGUUGGGUUUGUGAAAGGAAAGGAGCACUUGAAGAUAGACGUUCAGAUAGAUCCAUGUACAAUGAUGGAAUGGGCUUCUUUACUAGUGUUACUGAUGCAACACAUCAGUAUCUCCUCGGAAAGUGACUGAGAAUCCUAAGAAAGACGAGCGAGAUGAAAGCCCUGGCCAUUCUGAAGGAUAAAAGAACAACUAUUGAAGCAGAAUUACACCAGGAGCAAACCAACACAGAAAACGCCAGAUGGGGACUUCAUAAGGAAUUUGAGAAAGUGUGAAGUUUAAGGUAGACUUCACCGUCAAGAUAGAACUGCCAAAGGGGGAGGAGUUGCAGUAUACUGCAGAGAUAGCCUGCAAAGUAAUGUCAUACUUUCCAGGUCGCAGUUGCAAAUGAGAACUUGUUCUCAACUAGCCUACCUGGUUAAAUAAAGGUGAAAUAAAAAAAAAUAAAAAAGGGAGCAACUCAGUGAUUUUCCUACGGAACACAACAACACUUCAGUUUGUCUGUAAAAGGAACGGAGGCUAAAACUUGCCCAUCUAAAUACAGUCAAGGAAUUACACCAAGCUGUUACCGACGGGUGUAACCAUGCCUUGAGUAGGAUCGCAGACCUCAGUGCUAAGUCCAAAGAGUACAGAACAGGCCCUCACAUGGAGGAAACAGCAGCCGCUAUACCAGAUGUCAUUGAAGAACUACAGUUCGUCUUUGAUGCCGUAGAGUUUCAAAACCAAACAGCUAUGUUGAUCAUGAACACCUUGGAACGUGAUAUCACCAACUGUCAACAACGGAUGGAGCCAACAGUGGAAACUCAUUCUACUCUGUUCACAACCAGACAGGAGAAAAUGGAGGAAACCAACGUAACUAAACACUGGGUCAUUUGGUUGAAUACAAGGUGGUUUGGUUUAUGUUGUACUCACUGUAUUUGACUUUAGUAUCACUGUUAUUCCUAAUACAGAGCAUUUAGCUGGAAUUGUGGAUUUUAUCUCUUGAGACCAUGUACAAUUCUGAUUCCCCUGAAAUGUUGACUUGCCACUUGUUUUAACGUCAGGUAGGCUGAGUGCUUGAAACUAAAAAUGUUUUGAUUUCAAACAUGCCCAUUGGCAUUUGUUUUCAGAGUGGUACUGUAUAUUGGUAACAAACACAAGAGAAAGUCUGAAAG
ensembl:lncRNA